UACGUAGGGUGCGAGCGUUAAUCGGAAUUACUGGGCGUAAAGCGUGCGCAGGCGGUUCGCUGUGUCCGAUGUGAAAGCCCCGGGCUUAACCUGGGAAUGGCAUUGGAAACUGGCGGGCUUGAGUGCGGCAGAGGGGGGUGGAAUUCCGCGUGUAGCAGUGAAAUGCGUAGAUAUGCGGAGGAACACCGAUGGCGAAGGCAAUCCCCUGGACCUGUACUGACGCUCAUGCACGAAAGCGUGGGGAGCAAACAGG
rnacentral:rRNA from 1 species